rnacentral:piRNA from 1 species
UGCCAUCUACCCCGAAAAUAACUGGUAA